CCUACGGGUGGCAGCAGUGAGGAAUAUUGGACAAUGGGCGCGAGCCUGAACCAGCCAAGUCGCGUGAGUGAAGACGGUCCUAUGGAUUGUAAACCUCUUUUGUCGGGGAGCAAAUGACGCCACGCGUGGCGUUCCGCGCGUACCCGAAGAAACAGCAUCGGCUAACUACGUGCCAGCAGCCGCGGUAAUACGGAGGAUGAGAGCGUUAUCCGGAUUUAUUGGGUUAAAAGGGUGCGCAGGCGGAAGAGCAAGUCAGCGGUAAAAUUGAGAGGUUCAACCUCUUCGAGCCGUUGAAACUGGUUUUCUUGAGUGAGCGAGAAGUAUGCGGAAGGCGUGGUGUAGCGGUGAAAUGCAUAGAUAUCACGCAGAACUCCGAUUGCGAAGGCAGCAUACCGGCGCGCAACUGACGCUCAUGCACGAAAGUGUGGGUAUCGAACAGGAUUAGAUACCCUAGUAGUC
rnacentral:rRNA from 1 species